UCUGAGCUUCCUACUUUACAAAGCCACCAUCUUUGAUGCUAAACAAACAGGUGGCUGCAGUCUGUGGGCAAAGGCAUCCAUGGAAGCCACCUUCUUCAUUUUAGUAGCUAUGCUUACAUCCAUGAACUGAGGAAACGCUGCAAGGAAAUGGAGAGGAAGAAGACAGAUGGUGGUGUGGCCACAGAGGAGAAGAGCUCCAAGGGAAGAGUUCAUCCUAGUGACACCCCUUCACCAGUGUAUAGUGAAGAACGAGGUGAAGGUAAUUGUUGGAGAAGCUCGUUCACCAAAUAAAUCCCCAAAAAAGAAAGAUGAUGAAUUAUUGGGUGUUGAUGGGGGGCUUGUUUUACAUUUAGACAAUGCUAUGUCCACAUAUAUAUAUUUUGCCUUCCAAUGUUCCAAGUCUCUUUAGUAGGGAAAUGUGGGAGGAAUAAUCAUCCAAUUGUUUUCUUUUUCUCUACCUACGUACGACAGAAAUAGAUGUUGCUUUCAUUAUUAACA